GAUGAACGCUGGCGGCGUGCCUAAUACAUGCAAGUCGAGCGAACAGAUGAGGAGCUUGCUCCUCUGACGUUAGCGGCGGACGGGUGAGUAACACGUGGAUAACCUACCUAUAAGACGGGGAUAACUUCGGGAAACCGGAGCUAAUACCGGAUAAUAUAUUGAACCGCAUGGUUCAAUAGUGAAAGACGGUUUUGCUGUCACUUAUAGAUGGAUCCGCGCCGCAUUAGCUAGUUGGUAAGGUAACGGCUUACCAAGGCAACGAUGCGUAGCCGACCUGAGAGGGUGAUCGGCCACACUGGAAGUGAUACGCGGUCCAGACUCCUACGGGAGGCCGCAGUAGGCAAUCUUCCGCAAUGGGCGAAAGCCUGACGGAGCAACGCCGCGUGAGUGAUGACGGUCUUCGGAUCGUAAAACUCUGUUAUUAGGGAAGAACAACUGUGUAAGUAACUAUGCACGUCUUGACGGUACCUAAUCAGAAAGCCACGGCUAACUACGUG
rnacentral:rRNA from 1 species